GGGAGAACAUUCUAUCUCCAUGGCUACUCUUGGCCAGCCAUGGCUGAUUCGAAAAAUUUAUUUUGUUGCCAUUUUGAUGCCAUUUUGAUUAAGUUUCAAGUGAAUUACAAGUUCAAGGAGGUGGUAGCAACAUUGGAUAUUGAAUUGACGAAGAAGAAAUUGUGAAAUUGGAGCAAUUGAGUGUAGAAAUUCCUCCGAGAAAAUUUAGGCUAAAGGGACGACGAAGCGAACGAGAGUGCGAUUAACCUUCAGCAGGUACAAACACUCGAUUCGGUGAUCCCCCAGCUUAGGAUUUCCAGUCAGCUGUCUUGGAGAGCUCCGUUGUUCCGGAGCCUAGACUUUUGGUACAGAUCUUCUGAUGUAUUUAUAUAUGGUUGUCCAGGGGUACGACGGGGCCCUGUCCCGUCAUAUUUCACUAUUAGUACUCUUAGAGGUCUGUAGACAUAUGUGUGAGUUGUGUAUAUAUGUUGUUCAGUUGUGUCUAUAUGACUUAUAUUUUGGAACGUUCCCAUUCGUAGUGGCAGCCUUGUCGGCUUGCGUAUAUACAUAUUUUGGGAUGUUGUAUGUAGUGGCAGCCUUGUCGGCUUGCGUGUGUAUAGUUGGGACGUUC